rnacentral:piRNA from 1 species
ACUGUACCGAUCUGCCUCUGCAA